rnacentral:lncRNA from 1 species
GGACAUGGCGGAAGGCGGAGGCUGGCAGGGGCGGACCGGCGGACGGUGACCGGGUUCGGGCCGCGCGGGGCGGGCACUGCGUCCCCGCUCACUCUCGGGUCCCCGCAGCCACCACGCCCGUGUGAGGCCUACCGAGCGGAGUGGGAGCUGUGCCGCAGCGCCGGGCACUUCCUGCACCAUUACUACGUCCACGGGGAGAGGCCGGCCUGCGGGCAGUGGGGACGCGACCUGGCCAGCUGCCGCGAGUGGGAGGAGCGCCGCAGCGCCGAGGCCCAGGUGAGGCCCAGGUGAUCUGCCUCGCCUGCAGAGAGUGGUUCUGCCGAACUCUGGAAGACGAGGACCAAGCCCAGCGGCGUCACCCAGCCGGGGGCACAAGAAGGCCUGACGCUGCAGGGAACAGGGGCCGGGCCGCAGGGGCUGCGGUGAGGAUAGACCUGGCAGACUUUAAAAGAGGGGCUAGAUCCUAGCCUCCACGCAUGCUGGGACGCCUGCUUUGAUUUACAUCUUUAAAAGAUCAGUGUGGCUGCCAGGGUGAGAGAAUAUAAUGGUGGAGGCGUGGGAGACCAGUCAGGAGAGAGUUCUUGUCCAUUCAUUCAGCAGACACUGAACACUUUGGAAGGUCACAGCCCCUGUCCUGGCUCCUACAUCCCAGUCUAGGAUACAGGGGUGCCUUGGAGCCGGAGGGUGGGGGUAGGGGAUGGAGUGAAGCUGUGAGUGGGCAGUGCUCAUGGGGAGUUGGGGGUUUUCGGGGGAGGGAGCCAGCAGGACUAGUGUGUGUAAAAGAAAAUGAUGCCAAGUCUUGAUAAGUGGAAAGUGGGAAAGAUAGUUGUAGUUUCUAUGGGAAGAAUGCUGUAUAAUAUUUUAAAGGUAGCUGUCAUGUAUCACUAAGAAAAAUGGAAAUGAUUUUAGAGUAGAAAAGCAGGCAAGGAGCACAAAGAAAUUCAUUCUAAAAGGAAACCAAAUGGUCUGGUAUAGGAUUGAAAUGACAGUAAGUGGUUUCUGCCCAGUGGAAUGUCCACAGGGGUUUGCAGAGUCAGGCACUUGGGCAGUGCUGAUGGAAUGUCAGGAGUUCUGAUUAUCUAAAUGUCAAACACAUACCUUUUAACCCCACAAUUUUAACUCUGAAAGUUUAUCCUAAGGAAGUAAUUGGGUAACAAAUUACAGGUUCAAAAUGUGCAUAGUGUCACUGUUUGUAAUAGUGCAAAGACUGAAAGUGUCCUAAAGCCCAGUAAUAGACAUUUGACCAGAUGAUGUCUUCUCCAUCAUGGAGUAUCACACAGCUCUUAAGAACAGGUAGUAAUCCAUCCCCAUGUGCAGAGAUACCCACAGUAUGUCACUUAAUGAGAAAAGCGAGAUGUUCACUAGCCAGAUUAUUCCUUCCUUGGGGAAACGUAAUAGCUCUAAAAUUUAGGCCUCAGAUGGUAUUGGGGAAGCUGUUGAUUCACUGCAGAGAUGGAGAUCUAGGAGUCUUCCACAUUGACUCUGUGUUUUUUAUUUUUAUUUUUUUAGGGCAGCACUGGCAGCAUAUGGAAGUUCCCAGACUAGGGGUCAAAUUGCAGCUACAACUCCUGGCCUAUGCCAUGCAACUUGGGAUCCAAGCCACGUCUGUGACCCACAGCACAGCUCAUGGCAACGCCACAUCCCUGACCCACUGUGCAAGGCCAGGGUAGAACCCCAAUCCUCAUGGAUACUAGUUGGAUUUGUUUCCGCCUCUCUACAACGGGAACUCCCCUCUGAUUGUUUUUUAAAUGAGAUCAAAAACAUCCCAUAUGAGACAGUAGGACUUGAACGAAAACAGGUGGAGGUGAAACUACACUUAAAGCAGCCAGCACAGCGCCUGCACCCAGUAGGCCCUGUCCUGGCUGUUAUUGGUGGGAGUGGAACCUGUUGCCUGUGGGACUCCAGGCGUGUGUCCCUAGCAUCACCCUUCCUCUAGCCACUCUUUCAGGCUGUCUUCUCCUGCUUAGCCCACAGCUGGUCCUAGCAGGUGAGUCUGGUAAGGUCAAGGGAAGGCAUUGCACCCUGAGGCCCAGGAGGAAAGUUUUAAAAUUUCCUUGAGAAGUUCCCGUUGUGGCACAGUGGAAACAAAUCCGACUAGGAACCAUGAGGUUGCGGGUUCAAUCCCUGCCCUUGCUCAGUGGGUUAAGGAUCCAGUGUUGCCAUGAGCUAUGGUGUAGUUGUGGUUGCGGCUCGGAUCUGGCAUUGCUGUGGCUCUGGCGUAGGCCAGUGGCUACAGCUCCGAUUAGACCCCCUAGCCUGGGAACCUCUAUAUGCCGCGGGAGCAGCCCUAGAAAGGCAAAAAGACAAAUAAAUAAAUAAAUAAUGUCCUCGAAGAGUUUCCUUCGUGGCUCAGUGGUUAACGAACCCAAGAAGGAACCAUGGUGUUGCAGGUUCAAUCCCUUGCCUUGCCGUGAGCAGUGGUGUAGGUUGCAGGUGUGGCUCAGAUCUGACAUUGCUGUGGCUGGGGCGCAGGCUAGCAGCUAUAGCUCCAAUUCAACCCUAAGCCUGGGGAACUUCCAUAUGCCACAGGAGCAGCC